GAGCCCCCCGCCCAGGAGCCCCCGGCCCAGGAGCCCCCCAGUCUCCAUCUGCUUGUUCAGAUGAAUGUCCUUACUACGGGGAUGUGGCCGCUACUGAAGAGGGCCACCGACAUGGAUAUGAACAAUCAUAAGGACAUGGACACGGAUGCGGACAUGAACCUGGACACAGAUGAGCACCCAGAAGUGGGAGCAGACGGGAGCGCCCCAAAGGAUGUGGACCAGAGCGUGCUGAUGGACCCAGGCAGGAUCAGACCGAUGGAUCCACGCAGAAACAUCCCCAUGGAUCCAGACAGGGCCAUCCCAGCAGAUGCAGGCAGGACUAACCCAACGGGGUGCCUCUGGGGUCCCAAGGGCACGGCCCAUCUGCGGGUGACCCCGGGGCUGUGCCGGGCCAGGCAGCGCCUGCAGCACAGCUUCUCCAGGCUGUGGCGGUGGGUGCAGGAGCGCUGGAGACACUGCCGUGCACAGCCCUUUUGGCAGCGCUGGUCCUCCGUGGGGAGGAAGACUCCCUGAGCCCGAGUGUGGGGCCCGGCACUGCCACAGCCCCACCGCGCUCCCUCCGGCUCAGACCACUGACGAGUUUCCCUUCCCGGCUGCUGCUGAUCCCUUCCCAUCCCAGAGUCACACAGCCCAGCAGUGCCCCCGAGCAGCGAUGGGUCCCAAGGACCACUUGGGAUGGUCAUGCAGAUGCUGCUGCUGCUGCAGCACAGCCUGUUUGCAGUCGUGCUGCGGUCCCGGCGGCUGCGGAAGAUCUGCCGGAGGUUGGGGAAGAAGAGGAGAGCGCCGAGCGCCAGGAGGAAGAAGGGAGAGGUGAGCAGCCCCAGUGCCAGCGCUGAGCAGCCUAGCCAGUGUGGGGCUGGGCGGGGGUCCCGGCCGUUCACACGCUCUUGCUUUGGCAGAUGCUUGCGGGAAGGACAGAGCAGCGGGGAUGCCGUCGCCGACGUGGGAAUUGCGGUGAGUGCUGCUUGGCCAACCUGCCCCCCAUUGCUGCAGGGCCUGGCGUCAGGGCCACGGGUGGGUGCUGUGCUGGGGUCGUGGCCGGGGGCUGUGCUGCGGGCAUGGCGGCAGCGGGUCCCCUCAUCUCCUCCAUUUCCUCCUGCAGGACGAGCCCACGGGAAAGGAGCAGGAAGCCACCCCGGGCCCCGCUGGCAUCCAUGCUGUCCCUGGGCUCCCUCGAUGAAUCUUCUUCCUCCUCCUGUUCCUCCCUCUACUCCUUCCCAGAGCCCUGGCCCGGUGCACUGGCAGAGUUGGCUGCCCUUGCCCCUGGGGCCGCCUCAGAGCCACGAGAGCCACAACCAGAGCCAGAGCCACAGCAAGAACCAGCAGCAGAGUCAGAGGCAGAGGAAGAGCCUGAGGAAGAGCCUGAGGAAUAGCUGGAGCCCGAACCAGAGUCAGAGGCAGAGUCAGAGGAAGAGGCAGAGGAAGAGCCUGAGGCAGAGCCAUCCCUGUGCCCCAGCUCGGAGUCCCCGGCUCUGCUGCCAGCAGCCUCCAGCACCCCCCACUCCCUGGGGCUGAGUGAGCAGAGCGAUGGAGCGCAGAGCCCCAUGGAGCCCUCCCCACCCCACUGCUCCCACACGAAGCUCAUCCAGGAGCUGCUCUGUGCCAUCCGUGAGAACCACGCAGCCGUUGAGCACCGCUGCCAACUGCUGCGGGCAGUGCUGGAGCGGCAGAGGGCAGCCGGGACGCCCAGAGAGC
ensembl:lncRNA